GAUGAACGCUAGCGAUAGGCUUAACACAUGCAAGUCGAGGGGUAACAUGGGAGUAGCUUGCUGCUUCUGAUGACGACCGGCGGAUGGGUGAGUAACGCGUAUGCAACUUGCCUCUUAGUGGGGAAUAACCCGGAGAAAUCCGGACUAAUACCGCAUACACUUAGUUAUCCGGAUGGAUGAUUAAGGAAGAUUUAUUGCUAAGGGAUAGGCAUGCGUUCCAUUAGUUAGUUGGUGAGGUAACGGCUCACCGAGGCAUCGAUGGAUAGGGGAGCUGAGAGGCUUAUCCCCCACAUUGGGACUGAGACACGGCCCAA
rnacentral:rRNA from 1 species